rnacentral:tRNA from 1 species
CAGGGAGACAACAAAAUGUUUAAUAUUAUUAUUUUGUCACCUUAGGUCGAUCGGUAUCUCACUUUCUUAGUUUGUUAAGAAUUUCAUUUCCUAAGUUUUUCUAGGUCACACCCAUUAUUUUCCUGGGCCAUUAGCUCAGGUGGUUAGAGCGCACCCCUGAUAAGGGUGAGGUCCCUGGUUCAAGUCCAGGAUGGCCCAUAUCUCUAUGUUGGGGGUAUAGCUCAGUUGGUAGAGCGCCUGCUUUGCAAGCAGGAUGUCAGCGGUUCGAGUCCGCUUACCUCCACUGAUUACCACCUCUGCCAUAAUUUGUAGAAAGGAAAUGUUUUGAGUCGUGAUCAAAUUCUGAACGAAUCUAGCUUCCUAAUAAAAUCAUUAAGAUGCUGGACUCAUUGAAUUAAUUUCAUUGUUUUCAGAGAACCUUGACAACUGCAUAGAUUAUUUUUAAAGACAAUAAGCAUCUUUUAAUGAUGCAGAUUUAUUAUUUGUGCGAAUGCAUUAAUAACAAUUCUAUUAAGUUGAUGCUUCAAUUAUGAAGUUAUU